UACGGGGGGGGGCAAGCGUUGUUCGGAAUUACUGGGCGAAAGGGGACGUAGGCGGUCACGCACGUCCGUUGUGAAAUCGCUCGGCUCAACUGGGCGGGGUCAGCGGAUACGGCGUGGCUGGAGCAAGCUAGGGGGCAAUGGAAUUCCCGGUGUAGUGGUGAAAUGCGUAGAUAGUGUGGAGGAAUACCGAUGGCGAAGGCAGCCCC
rnacentral:rRNA from 1 species